GUGGGGAAUCUUGCGCAAUGGGCGAAAGCCUGACGCAGCGACGCCGCGUGCGGGAAGAAGGCCUUCGGGUUGUAAACCGCUUUCAGGAGGGACGAAGCCACUCGGGUGAAUAGCCCAGAGGGUGACGGUACCUCCAGAAGAAGCCCCGGCUAACUACGUGCCAGCAGCCGCGGUAAUACGUAGGGGGCAAGCGUUGUCCGGAUUUAUUGGGCGUAAAGAGCGUGUAGGCGGCCAUGCAGGUCCGUUGUGAAAACUGGAGGCUUAACCUCCAGACGCCGGUGGAAACCGUGUGGCUAGAGUCCGGAAGAGGAGAGUGGAAUUCCUGGUGUAGCGGUGAAAUGCGCAGAUAUCAGGAAGAACACCCGUGGCGAAGGCGGCUCUCUGGGACGUGACUGACGCUGAGACGCGAAAGCGUGGGGAGCAAACAGGAUUAGAAACCCUAGUAGUCC
rnacentral:rRNA from 1 species